ACACUCAAGCCAAUCGGCCUUGAGGAGGAUAGACUCGUCGGACUGUAGCGGUUGUAAACAACUUGUCGCCCCGUGUGUCUGCCCGUGGCGCUAGUUAUCUGUCGAAGUUACCACUGACAAUGCCCAAAACAAGAACAACAAAGGCCCAAAGGUGGCUGUUUGGUAGUGCGCAAAGCUGCUGGUGGUGGUGGACGUCUCUGCCCUGACGCGCGGCGUGCGUCUGCUCAGUGUGGAGGUGCCGCUGACAGCGGUGCCGGCCGGACCGGCUGCCUCUCCGGCGGCCGACAUUGAGCGCGGCACGUGUCCGCCGCCGUUCGGGCCGCUGCAGCUGCUGCAGUCGGCGGCGCAGCUGUCCGUCUCCGUGUCGCUGGCCGUGCCGCUGGACCUGCUGCCGCGGCCGGCGCCGGCGCGCUGCGCCUACGGCCGCCUGCUGGCCGUCGUCUCGCAGCGCGGCCUGCAGCGCAGCGGCGUGCUGCAGCUCAUCCAGCAGCUCAACGAGCCGCCCAGCCCGGCGGCGGCCGAGGGCGCCGCGCCGCGCCGGCCCGGCGACGUCAGCACACCUGGCAUCAGCGGCUUCUGCCUGGCCGACCGUCAGCUGCACCUGCUGUUCGCCGAGGGGCGCGCCGACGCCGAGCUGGAACAGACGGCGGCCGCGCCGCGCGCUCUGCCGCGCCGCGACGCUCGACUCUGCCACCACUCGGGCCUACUGUUACGCCGUCCGCGCCAUCAGAGAGUGCUUCCGCACGCAGUGGCUGUCGGAAAAUGAACCUGCUUCCCAACGAGGCCGGCCUGCAACAACUGCUGGCCGGCUGUUGGCCGAAAAAAACGCCUUCAACCGGAUGUCAGUUGUCAAAUCAACGCGUAUUAAUGCAUUCACUAGGAUGGGCUUACGUAAAGCUGUAGAAUUGCAAAUAUAUAAUGGCACUGUU